UGGUUCUGGCAUCGAUGAAGAACGCAGCGAAAUGCGAUAAGUAAUGUGAAUUGCAGAAUUCAGUGAAUCAUCGAAUCUUUGAACGCACAUUGCGCCCUCCGGUAUUCCGGAGGGCAUGCCUGUUCGAGCGUCAUUACAACCCUCAAGCUCUGCUUGGCCUUGGGCGCCACCGGGAACGGUGGGCCUCAAACCCAGUGGCGGCGCCGUCUGGCCCUGAGCGUAGUACUACUCCUCGCUAUAGGUGCCUGGCGGCCGCUGGCCAGCAACCCCCAACUCUUUCGGUUGACCUCGGAUCAGGUAGGGAUACCCGCUGA
rnacentral:misc_RNA from 1 species